rnacentral:piRNA from 1 species
UACCUAUCUACCUGGGAGUUCUGACCUGA